CCGAACCAAUCCACCAACGAGGCCACGAUUCACACCAGCCCAUCCCCAAUCCACCAACAAGGCCACGAUCAACACCAGCCCAUCCCCACCCGAUCCCGACCUUCCUCGCCCCUCCAUCCCGAUCGCCGCCCUCGUGACCCCGGUCGCCGCCUCACUCCCAUACAUGCGCCACCGCCUGCUCCUACCUCCAACGCGUCGCCGCUAGCCACUAACACCACACGUGUCGCCGCCAGACCUAACAUUCAACAGCGUUGCCAUCGAAGCCCGACCUUGAAUUGCAUCGUUGACGAGCCCCAACCUCCAAUCGCGUCGCCGCUGGCCCCGACCACCAACCACGCCACUAUUGGGACACCUUCCUCCAGUCGCGCCAUCGUCGAGCCCUGCCAACCAACGCUUCCCCUCCCACUCCUCACGGCCUCCGUCCAACCACUACCUCCCCACCCCAUCCCGCUUGUCUCCGGGCCAACCAUCGCAUCCCCGUCCUUUGGCCCCGACCUUCAGCUGGGGGAGGUAUCGAUCUGUAGUUGGAGGAAGUAUGGACUUGGAGCUGGUCACGCGAAUCGCUGCGACCCACUAUCGUCGAGGUCAACCACCCACAGCCGUUGUUGCAGCAACCAACCAGAGCUGCGCGAAGGAAUCUCAAGCUCCACCACCCGUUGUCACUCUCCGUGUAUGUUGUGCACGGACGAGCCAAUCAUCUCGAAUGGGUGCCACCUCCCUUCCCUGCUCUGUUCUUCAAAUAGCAUCAACGAAGUGGUUCUUUGAUGCCCAUUAGGUGUUCAUGCAAAUACCUAUCAGGGUGAGUUCUAACUAAAUUUACAUGUUUUUUGCGCCGAUGAGACAGUUGUAGACAAUUUUUUGAAAUUCCCAGGAUUGUCACCACUGCAGCGCCGAGAUCCCCAUUUCCACCAUGUUCCGAUGAAGUCCAGGCUUCUUUUUUGGGCGGUUCAAAUUGUUCUUGGUUUAGUUUUUUUUUUUCUUUUUUUGUCGGUUGCUACCUUGUUCUUGGUCAUUUUGUUAAUUGGUAUUGUGUUCUUUGAAAAUGUGACAAAAUAGGUAGUCACAACAAGAACACAAGGUGUUGUGAUGGAUGUAAGUCCAUUUGAAUAGCAACAGUUUUUCUAUUUUGAUAUUGCUAUUGCAGAAUAAUGUUUCUUAGAAUUGUCAUUCUAUCAGAGUAGCAUUCUCCGGUAUAUAUUCUAAAAAGUUCAGCUGUCAUGUGCCUGGUAUGAAUCAUUCAUCCUUGGUUUCUCUCGCUUUUGCUCCUAAAUUAAAGGUAGCACAUUGAUUUUCAGACUAGAUGAAGAAUAGAUCUGAAAUAGAAAAAAAGUUGUUCCAAAAUGAACAAUUAUAUUAUUUGUCAAGAACAAUUUUAUUCUAGAAUGAUGAGUUGUUGCUCCUACGCGAAGAACUCCAUGUACGUGUUUUUCAGGACCUUUCUUAAUGCACAAGCAUGGCG
rnacentral:lncRNA from 1 species